UAGGGUAAGCUGGUAGAGUAAGGCGUAAGGCGUAAGGCUAAAGGGGUGUUCUGCGGCCGGCGUCGAGGGGUGGUUGGAGGACUCGCUCUCGGUUCUUGAGAGAGGCAGCUAGCAUACCACGGGUACCAGUGGCUCCGCACCUGCGAGCGGCCCACGCCGCCCCGCCGCCGCAGGUUCGGAAACGGCCGAGUCCUCCAGGGGCACGAUGGCGUAGGAUGGCGGUUCUUUGGGCGGAGCAGCUCUCCCCACCGGCACCGCUCGUCGCGUCCGGUCCUGCCGGCCGCGCUACGGCGGCAGCAGCCCUCCGCGGCGCCGUAGCGCAGCACGGACGACCGGCGCGAGCGCGACCGGCCGAGGAGGAGUCCGCCGCGGCGAGCCCGGCGGUAGGACCUCCGCCUGCUGCUGUACCUCGACGACCUCGCGCAGUUCCUCCUGUUCUUCUUCGCCGAGGUCUUCGUCCCCUAGUAGUCGAGGAGGCGGCGCCUCUGUCCUGGACCACAUGUUCGACUCGUUCCACCCCGUCCGGUAACUGUUCCUGCUGGAGCGGCGGCGGCCGCUGCAGGAGCCGGGGCGGGGGCUGCGCGGCACCCACGUCUUGCAGUUACGUCGAAAGAGGUUCAAGUCGAGCUCGUCACUCCUCUUCUCGCGCCAGCUGUCGAAGUUGAGGAGCGACAGGAGGAAUAAGUGUAGUCCAUACAUGAAUAAGUAGUCAAAAAGCGAGAUCGUCACCUUCUUAAUGCUUUUACCACUAGCAGAGCGAAAGGUAAGAACAACGUCACUCGUUCUCGCUGUAGUUGAGCAGGUUCAGCCGCAAGCACAGCAGCCGCUGCCGCGACCUCUUUACCCACCUCGACCGGCCCGAGUGGCCGUUCGAGUUCCCGAAGACUUAAAAGACUCUACUCACUUAACAACGACAGACUGCUCAUGUAUGGAUGGAUGGACCUCUACUACAAAAGGAAGUUCGCGACCGAACUACUACAAGAGGUACGUUGACUAUGUACACAACUAAGAUAGCAUUGGUGCCAAAGCUGCCCUUUUGUUAGACAAUCUCAGUGUUAAGGGAGACAAAAAGAAGGGGAACAACUCUACAUUUUCUGUAAAAAACACAGUUCUUUAAUAAACGUCACAUAAUCCUAGAACUCCUUCUUUUUCAUUCAAGUAGGCACAUGCAGAUCACGAACAAACGUUCUUUAAGUACGCUCAAGAACGUGAGUCUAAUGUUACAUAGCGCACUUUGGUUACAUACAAGUAGGACUCAUAGACUGAUACCG
rnacentral:rRNA from 1 species